UGGGGAAUUUUGGACAAUGGGGGAAACCCUGAUCCAGCCAUCCCGCGUGUGCGAUGAAGGCCUUCGGGUUGUAAAGCACUUUUGGCAGGAAAGAAACGUCAUGGGUUAAUACCCCGUGAAACUGACGGUACCUGCAGAAUAAGCACCGGCUAACUACGUGCCAGCAGCCGAGGUAAUACGUAGGGUGCAAGCGUUAAUCGGAAUUACUGGGCGUAAAGCGUGCGCAGGCGGUUCGGAAAGAAAGAUGUGAAAUCCCAGAGCUCAACUUAGGAACUGCAUUUUUAACUACCGGGCUAGGGUGUGUGAGAGGGAGGUGGAAUUGCGCGUGUAGCAGUGAAAUGCGUAGAUAUGCGGAGGAACACCGGUGGCGAAGGCAGCCUCCUGGGAUAACACUGACGCUCAUGCACGAAGGCGUGGGGAGCAAACAGG
rnacentral:rRNA from 1 species